CAGCGCUCAAGGUUUCACUUGUUCCACUGGAGGAUCUGCACAUACAUAAACAAGUAAUUCAAGAAAGUAAGCUGCUGUCUUUCCAGCUCACUGCAGGAACAAUACCCCUGGUUUAAUUCCAGGAAGGAAGAAGCACUCAUGGAGUCAGCGCAGCAGGGACGUGUCUCACUGUUCACCAUACGUUCAAGUAGGGGCAACUGAGUGAAUACAAGAUAUGCUGUCACUUUCAACCAGAGCAUAAUGGUGGCCAAUUAAAGAGCAGCAGCAGCGGGCAGGAGUGAAAGCAAAUAGAGUUAUGUGUAUGGCUGCAAAGAAUGCAGCCAGUCAGCCACAAGAAUCAUUUUUUCAAGUGCAGUUCUAGUAGUCAUGUCAAGAAGCAUGAGAACGUAGAUAUCACGUGAGGAAGAUACUCUUGCUGAACCAGAGUAGUGCAAAAGGUAAGCUGUAAUCCUCAGCCAUCACCAUUCCCCUGAAGUCAUUACAUUGGUCAGUUACCCAGCCCAAGACGACAUGCACAGAUAGGGCACGCAGAACAUGCCUAUUAUAAAUAAAAUGAAUGUUCCUUCAGAGCCUCUUGUCCUGAAGGCAGAUAAUAACUUCAAGUUGCUGGACACAUUAGGACAGUUCCUUAGCACACAUUGCAGAACACACAGAGGAACUUCAUUUGCUCUUUCAGAAG